GAAAGGAACCAACAGGGAUUGCCUUAGUAGCGGCGAGUGAAGCGGCAAAAGCUCAAAUUUGAAAUCUGGCACUUUCAGUGUCCGAGUUGUAAUUUGAAGAAGGUAUCUUUGGGUCUGGCUCUUGUCUAUGUUUCUUGGAACAGAACGUCACAGAGGGUGAGAAUCCCGUGCGAUGAGAUGACCCAGACCUAUGUAAAGUUCCUUCGAAGAGUCGAGUUGUUUGGGAAUGCAGCUCUAAGUGGGUGGUAAAUUCCAUCUAAAGCUAAAUAUUGGCGAGAGACCGAUAGCGAACAAGUACAGUGAUGGAAAGAUGAAAAGAACUUUGAAAAGAGAGUGAAAAAGUACGUGAAAUUGUUGAAAGGGAAGGGCUUGAGAUCAGACUUGGUAUUUUGUAUGUUACUCUUUCGGGGGUGGCCUCUACAGUUUACCGGGCCAGCAUCAGUUUGGGCGGUAGGAGAAUUGCAAAGAAAUGUGGCACUGCUUCGGUAGUGUGUUAUAGUCUUUGUCGAUACUGCCAGCCUAGACUGAGGACUGCGGCUUCGGCCUAGGAUGUUGGCAU
rnacentral:rRNA from 1 species